AUAAGACCUUGAUUUGAUGUUGUU
rnacentral:snRNA from 1 species